rnacentral:rRNA from 1 species
UUAAUUGUUUAUAUCAGCAGUUGGUUUUUUAUUAAAAUUUAUGUUUUUUAAGAAUGUUUUAAAUUAUAGGGGAUAGGACACAGUGCCAGCAUCCGCGGUUAUUCUGUUUUCUUUGCUUUUUUGUAGAUGUAGUUUAGAUAUUUUUUUAAAAUAAUAGGUGAAAUUUUGUUUGGUUUGUAUUAGAUAUUUAGAUUUUAUUAAAUAUUUAUUAUGACAGGGAUUAGAUACCCCAUUAAUUUAUUUUUUAUUUUUUCUUAGUUUUUUAACUAAAAUGGUUUGGCAGCAAGUGAAUCCAUUCAGGGGAAGGUGUCAAGUAAAGGAUGGUCCGCCUAUUAAUUUACUCUUUUUAUGUUGGUGUAUAUCUGGUUUAAUAUUGUUGUUUAAUGAUUUUAAUUUGUGUAUUUUUAUUUAAGCUAAGUCUAUGUGCUGUUUAUUGGAGUUUAAAUGCGUUACAUUUAUAUGGUAACAUUUGUAAAGAUGUUAUUUUUAGGACUUGAUAGUAAUACCUUAUUAGUUUGUUGGUGUGAAUGUGGUUUAGCUUGGGUACACACCGCCCGUCGCCCUCGAUUUUUGUUGAGGUAAGUCGUAACAAGGUAACUUUAGAUGAAUUUGAAGUUGGUUAUUAUUGUCUUUUU